rnacentral:rRNA from 1 species
ACAGCAGUAGCCACGGGAAUACAGAGGGUGCAAGCGUUAAUCGGAAUUACUGGGCGUAAAGCGCGCGUAGGUGGUUUGUUAAGUCGGAUGUGAAAUCCCCGGGCUCAACCUGGGAACUGCAUCCGAAACUGGCAAGCUAGAGUAUGGUAGAGGGUAGUGGAAUUUCCUGUGUAGCGGUGAAAUGCGUAGAUAUAGGAAGGAACACCAGUGGCGAAGGCGACUACCUGGACUGAUACUGACACUGAGGUGCGAAAGCGUGGGGAGCAAACAGGAUUAGAUACCCGUGUAGUCCCUGUCUCUUAUAC